rnacentral:rRNA from 1 species
ACGGGGCGCAGCAGGCGCGAAACCUUUACACUGCACGCCAGUGCGAUAAGGGGAUCCCGAGUGCACAGGCAUAGAGCCUGUGCUUUUCUGAACCGUAGGGAGGUUCAGGAACAAGAGCUGGGCAAGACCGGUGCCAGCCGCCGCGGUAAUACCGGCAGCUCGAGUGAUGGCCGAUCUUAUUGGGCCUAAAGCGUCCGUAGCUGGCCUUGCAAGUCCGUCGGGAAAUCCACCCGCUCAACGGGUGGGCGUCCGGCGGAAACUGUGAGGCUUGGGACCGGGAGGCUUGAAGGGUACGUCCGGGGUAGGAGUGAAAUCCCGUAAUCCUGGACGGACCGCCGAUGGGGAAACCACUUCAAGAGAACGGAUCCGACAGUGAGGGACGAAAGCUAGGGUCUCGAACCGGAUUAGAUACCCCCGUAGUCC